UGCAAUUCCUUAUGAAUUAUUAUAACUAAAGAGAUAAUUCAAGAGGCUCAUAAGGAUCAACAUAAAGAAAAUUGAGCCAACUUAAUAUUUUGGUAUUAUCGCAACAAAAGAUGAGCUUUUGAAUUAUUAUUUUUUUAUUCUUUCAUACAUUCAAAUAAGAUUGAAUCAGACAUGAAGAAGUUUCAAACUUUCUAAUACAUAUCCGUUGCAACUAGUAUUUGUGUAUUUUUGCUUGAGCUGUAUGAGAUGGACGUCUCAUAUAUGGUUCUGAGAAGGGGAAUUUCAUCUACCUCAAUAAGUCUAUGAUUGGUUCUAAGAAUGUCUCGAGAUUCUUGUAAUUGUGAAUGAUACAACUGGUGAAUGCAUUCCUCCUAUCUGAAUAUAUUUUAUUGUUUCGGGGAAAUUACACUUAUUUUUUAGUACAAGUAGCUACGUGUUACUAUGACUUUCUCCUAUUGUCUGUAGAGGUGAGCAUUUUUUCU
rnacentral:lncRNA from 1 species